rnacentral:rRNA from 1 species
GACGAACGCUGGCGGCGUGCUUAACACAUGCAAGUCGAACGGUCAGAGAAGAGCUUGCUCUUCUGGAUCAGUGGCGAACGGGUGAGUAACACGUGAGUAACCUGCCCCAGACUCUGUAAUAAGCGCUGGAAACGGCGUCUAAUACCGGAUACGAUACAGAGCUGCAUGGCUACUGUCUGGAAAGGUUUUCGGUCUGGGAUGGACUCGCUGCCUAUCAGCUUGUUUGUGAGGUAACGGCUCACCAAGGCAACGACGGGUAGCCCGCCUGAGAGGGCGACCGGCCACCCUGGGACUGAGACACGGCCCAGAAUCCUACGGGCGGCAGCAGUCGGGAAUCUUGCACAAUGGCGGCAAGCCUGAUGCGGCGACGCCGCGUGAGGGAUACUGGCUUACGGGUUGUAAACAAAUUUCUGCAGGGAUGAAGCGAUCGUGACGGUACCUGAACAAGAAGCCCCGGCUAACUACGUG